rnacentral:lncRNA from 1 species
GGAUACAUGAUUGGAGCAAGACAUGGCUUUUCUUAGCAAAUCAACACUCCACAUGCAGAAUCAGUACAAAAUGUGGGUUAGAGAGUUUUCUACAAACACAUUAAAUGGCCAUUCUUCAUCUUCCUAUCACUGCGGGACUGGGGUGGUGGCACAGGGGGAGGCUGGAGGCUAAAUAGGUGACAUUUAGAGAAUAGGCCUCAUUAUCCUCAUUUUACAACUGACAAUCAAACACACAUAAGCUUUAUAAAUUAUAAUUUUGUCAUUACAGACAGAAGUAUCCUUUUAAGCAUGUUUUGGAUGAGCUAUGAAAAAUGUGAUUGUUGUGGUACAGAGAUAUGUUAAUUAAGACUUAGAAUUUUCGGUAAUGUAGGGUAUCCUUUAUUGGCAUCCAGAGUCCAGAGCGUCUGUCCUCACAGGUGAAGACAUGAGAGGCUGCCCCUCAAAAUGGGCAAGAUCCAAGCCAAAAUGGAAUGGAAGCAACAUCUUGCUACCAAAUAGAAUGCACAUCGUGCAGCCCUGACACAAGGAACGCAAGCCUCUAAUAGCCUGCCUUGUUCCUGGCUCUCUUUCCCCCACAAGCUCAUACUUUCGGUUAGUGGUUUUUGCACCUGCUUGAGUGGCUGUGUCCCUCAGAUGAGCUUGCUGGGGUCGUGUGAGUAAAUGAGCAGACAGGAGAUCCCUCCUCCCCCGUGUAAUCCCACCAUGUUGUCACUGCAUUCUCUUCACUGUGGGAAGGAAAGA